rnacentral:lncRNA from 1 species
UUUUUUUUUUUUUUUAAUUUUGGAAUUCCCCAUCAUGGCUCAGCAGUAACAAACCCAACUAGUAUUCAUGAGAACACAGGUUCGAUCCCUGGCCCCGCUCAGUGGGUUAAGGAUCCGGGAUUGCCAUGCGCUGCUGUGUAGGUUACAGACAACACUUGGAUCCUGCGUCGCUGUGGCUGUGGUGUAGGCCUACAGCUCCAGUGCCGUCCCUAGCCUGGGAAGUUCCAUACACCUUGGGUGUGGCCCUAAAAGAGACAAAAAUAGAUAAAUAAAUAAAUGUAAAAAAUUUUUGUUCGAGUAUUGCUGGUUUACGAUGAUGUGGUGUCAUUUUCUGCUGUACAACAAAGUGACCCAGUCACACACACAUGCAUAUAUAUAUAAACAUAUUCCCUUUCUUACAAAUAUUAUUUUUCAGGGUGACAGCAUCACCCACUUCAGCAUUCACUUUAAAGACAUGAUGUGAGAAUCAAGGUGAGGAAAAGCACCUACCCCGGGGCCUGGAAUGGAGUUCUCCCUCCAGGAACCUCAAAUCCCUUCCCUUUGCUCUCUCUGACAGAGGAAGGGGCCACUCCAGGAGGCGCUCCCCCCGGCCCCCCCGGCAAGCCUGGUGGACUCAUCUGACAUUGACCCUGAGAACCCCUCACCACCUCUGGAAUUUAGCAGGAGUGUUUGAGCGUUGGGAGGAAAGCAUGAGCCUUUCUAGGCAGCCACCUUAUUAAGUGGCAACAAUUGCUCACACAUCUCCCGAAUGGUUCUCAGAAACCACCCUCUGGUACCUGGGUGGCAUCAGUGUCUGUUCGGGGGCCUGUGCAGACCCCACCUCCCUCUCUAGCUACGUGCCCAGGGGGAGUGAACAUGGACUGCAGAGCAGGGAUGAAGACUGGGAAUCCAGUUCUGCCACUUAAUCCACUUUGCAAUCUUUUUUUGUCUUUUAAGGGCCACACCCGUGGCAUAUGCAAGUUCCCAGGCUAGGGGUCGAAUCGGAGCUAUAGCUGCUGGCCUACACCACAGAUGCAGCAACGUGAGAUCUGAGCUGCAUCUGUGGCCUCCACCACAGCUCAUGGCAACGCUGGAUCCUUAACCCACUGAUCGAGGUCAAGGAUCAAACCUGCGUCCUCAUGGAUAUUGGUCAGGUUCAUUAACCACUAAGCCGUGAUGGGAACUCCCCUGCUUUGUAAUCUGAAGGUCCUUAACCUCUCUGUACCUCGUUCUACUUAUCUAUAAACUGGAAAUAAUAAUGGUACCUAACCUCAGAGAAGGUUUUGAAGAGUCAGCAAAGAAUAUAUAUAUAGUCCUAUGGAAACUGAUAAAUAGCAAGGCCUGAAUAAAUAUUUACAAAGUGAAUUACAUUAUUUUUGAAUUGGCCCUAACACCCUAAAAAUGGAUUGAUGACUGUUGACAGUUUUACAUAACAAAUUCAAAAGUGCAUGAUUCCAUUGACCUUUUAAACCACUCCAAAAAUAAAUAGAGAUGAUUUUCCGAAGUCUGAAAACCCCAAAACAAUACAAGAAAAAUAAUUGCUUAUUAUCAAAAAAUUUUGAUGAUGUAACAUUAAAAUUUUAUUUUAGCGUCAGAUUACAAAUAAAAUCAAUUUAGGUAAAUAAUAGGUCUGGGGAAAUAUGUACAAUACAGAAAACAGAAGGCUGGAGUCCCCAUCGAGACUCAGUGGAAAUGAACCUGACUGAUAUCCACAAGGAUGUGGGUUUGAUCCCUGGCCUCCCUCAUGGGUUAAGGAUCUGGCAUUGCCAUGAGCUGUGGCAUAGGUCGCAGACGUGGCUCAGAUCCUGUGUUGCUGUGGCUGUGGCCUAGGCUGGCAGCUGCAGCUCCAAUUCGACCCCUAGACUGGGAAUUUCCAUAUGCCACAAUGUGGCCCUAAAAAGCAAAAAAAAAAAGAAAGAAAGAAAAGAAAAUAGAAAGUUAAUAUUUAUAAUAUGCCGAUGAAUUGUUAAAAAUAGAAGGAAUUAUUUUGAAAUUUAAAUUGGGAUAAGCACAUGAAUAAGCAAAUCGCAGAACAAGUCAAUAAACAUAUGAAAAGAUGUUCAAACUCCAGGCUAUAUAAAUUGAAAUAACAAGCGGCUGUUAUUUUUCAGCCAUCAGACUGAUGAUAUAUUUUAAGUGAAGUAACAUCUACUGCCAGGAGGACAUAAGAAAAUGGGUUCCCUUCUUCAAAGCUAGAAAGUAGGAAUUAUUUCAACCUUUUUGUUUUGUUUUGUUUUUGGGGUUUUUUUUUUGUUUUGUCUUUUGUCUUUUUAGAGCCACACCUGCGGCAUAUGGAGGUUCCCAGGCCAGGGGUCUAAUCAGAGUUGUAGCUGCCAGCCUAUGCCAGAGUCACAGAAACACCAGAUCCGAGCCACGUCUGCGACCUACACCACACCUCAUGGCAACGCUGGAUCCUUAACCCACUGAGCAAGGCCAGGGAUUGAACCCGCCACCUCAUGAUUCCUAGUCGGAUUCAUUUCUGUAUUUCAGGCUUUUUGGAGUGCAUUCCAGAAACAGUUGUUAUAAUGUAAAAAUACAUAUAUUCUUUGACCUGGCCCUCUCUCUCCACGAAAUAUAUCUUAAAAAAUAAAAACUCCAGUACCUAAAAACAUACACUUGUGCUUGUGGCACAAUGGUUCACUAUGACUGGACACUAGAUCCCCAUCAAAUUAUCAAUCAAUGAAUACAUCCAUCUUCUGCAUCCAUUAAAAAGACUGGAUUAGAGCCAUGCCAAAGUUAGAGGGAUUUCUUCAAGAUACGGAAGAGUAAGAAAAACAAAAAGCAGGAAAAUAUGUAUAAAAAUAAUCCUGUUUUUGGUAAAAUUAACACUCCAAAUUCACGAAGCUGCGUAAAUAUUUGUGUUUAUGAA